CUCCAGCACGUAGAGCUGCUGAUUGCAGAAGUAACACAGCUCACUGCUUCCUACGUCUGCCACCGGCACUGUGGGCAUGAGCUACGGCAUGAGAAAGAACAAGCAUGAUGUAAACUGUGAUGUCCACGCACCUACUGCAAGCAGCCAGACGCUCCUGAGGGACAAGUCACAUGACCUCAUUUGUGGCUCAUGUUAUCUGUCACGACUGUCAGAGCCGCUGUUACAGAAAAUGAAUCAACACCAAUCACAUUCAAGAACACUGCUGUGCUAUAACCUAAUAUAAUCACUACAUAUUCUGGUUCAAUAUGACGUCGGUCCACCCUUUGCAGCUAUAACAGCUUCAACUCUUCUGGGAAGGCUGUCCACAAGGUUUAGGAGUGUGUUUAUGGGAAUUUUUGACCAUUCUUCCAGAAGCGCAUUUGUGAGGUCACACACUGAUGUUGGACGAGAAGGCCUGGCUCUCAGUCUCCGCUCUAAUUCAUCCCAAAGGUGUUCUAUCGGGUUGAGGUCAGGACUCUGUGCAGGCCAGUCAAGUUCAUCCACACCAGACUCUGUCAUCCAUGUCUUUAUGGACCUUGCUUUGUGCACUGGUGCACAGUCAUGUUGGAAGAGGAAGGGGCCAGCUCCAAACUGUUCCCACAAAGUUGGGAGCAUGGAAUUGUCCAAAAUGUCUUGGUAUGCUGAAGCAUUCAGAGUUCCUUUCACUGGAACUAAGGGGCCAAGCCCAGCUCCUGAAAAACAACCCCACACCAUAAUCUCCCCUCCACCAAACUUUACACUUGGCACAAUGCAGUCAGACAAGUACCGUUCUCCUGGUAACCGCCAAACCCAGACUCGUCCAUCAGAUUGCCAGAUGGAGAAGUGCGAUUCGUCACUCCAGAGAACGCGUCUCCACUGCUCUAGAGUCCAGUGGCGGCGUGCUUUACACCACUGCAUCCGACGCUUUGCAUUGCACUUGGUGACAUAUGGCUUGGAUGCAGCUGCUCGGCCAUGGAAACCCAUUCCAUGAAGCUCUCUGCGCACUGUUCUUGAGCUAAUCUGAAGGCCACAGUUUGGAAGUCUGUAGCGAUUGACUCUGCAGAAAGUUGGCGACCUCUUCGCACUAUGCGCCUCAGAAUCCGCUGACCCCGCUCCGUCAGUUUACGUGGCCUACCACUUCGUGGCUGAGUUGCUGUCGUUCCCAAACACUUCCACGUUCUUAUAAUACAGCUGACAGUUGACUGUGGAAUAUUUAGGAGUGAGGAAAUUUCACGACUGGAUUUGUUGCACAGGUGGCAUCCUAUCACAGUUCCACGCUGGAAUUCACUGAGCUCCUGAGAGCGACCCAUUCUUUCACAAAUGUUUGUAAAAACAGUCUGCAUGCCUAGGUGCUUGAUUUUAUACACCUGUGGCCAUGGAAGUGAUUGGAACACCUGAUUCUGAUUAUUUGGAUGGGCACAAAUCUUCCUCCUCCUGCUGAGAUGAAAACGUCAAACUGAUAGGAAGAAACAGGGUGAGACUCGGGAUGCAACAAAGCCCUCCAGCCUGAAAGAGAACCAGAGUUAUUUUUUUUCCAGCUUCGCUUUGGGUCACACUUUUAUAACAGUGUAAGAGAGUAAUAAAAUCUUUAAUCUUGAAGUGAAGUAUGGCUUUGUAUAGAAACUAAUGACAUGCCUGUUCCUGAUCCUUGAGGUUCAACCAAACCAUUAUAGGUCACUCCAGUGUGAACUUCAACCCCCAAGAGCAGAGCCAACUUCAGCAAAAUUAACUGCAACUGCCGGAUACCUGCAUAUGCACAAUAACAACAAAUACAGACAGAUGAGGAUUUUUUUUUUAUUUCACAUGAAGAUAUGCUGCUGCUUUGUGCUUUGUACUGUUUUCAUCCAGUAACACUACAGAGGUGAACAAAUAAUAAAUUUGUUUGUUUAUUUAUUACCUUAUUACCUGUGCCUGUGGAUAUUACUGGAAGCUGUGAAUUUCCCAUUGGGAUGAAUAAAGUAUCUAUCUGUCUGUCUGUCUGUCUGUCUGUGCUCCCCAGUCCCGUAGUUUGGUUGGUCAAAAACCUAAGCAAUCAGGCUAAAAAAUGCUAGUUAAUAUUACUCUAUGUAAUGACACAUGGCCAGCUGGUUAGUUAGGAACCGCACCAAAUAAGUAUGAUCAUCGUACGUUGGCUUUGUACGUUGGCUUUGUACUUAAAUCUAUUUUGUUUUUUACCUUACUGCAUGUUCCUGUUUCUGAAAAGUUCUUCUGUUGUCUAUGCAUGCUUAUUAAUUUGUCAGCAAGUGCACAAGGAUUCAGUUUAAACAUGUAUACCAAAUAAAAUGUUUGUUGCACGAAUUUCACCAAGAAGUAACUUUCUUAUACAGCAGAUAGAUCUGGUCUACAUACUGGACUAGCAGCAUUCCAACACUGUCUAUAUUUAGUAUGCCUAGACUGGGAUGAUUCACUUUUUGUAGCACUCUGCUUGCUUGUGUACACCUUGUAAAAUUUCGAUUCUGGAAAUGGUCUCCCU